ACUCCUACGGGAGGCAGCAGUGGGGAAUAUUGCACAAUGGGGGAAAGCCCAUCGAUGCAGCAACGCCGCGUGGAGGAUGACACAUUUCGGUGCGUAAACUCCUUUUAUAUAGGAAGAUAAUGACGGUACUAUAUGAAUAAGCGCCGGCUAACUCCGUGCCAGCAGCCGCGGUAAUACGGAGGGCGCAAGCGUUACUCGGAAUCACUGGGCGUAAAGAGCGUGUAGGCGGAUAGAUAAGUCAGGAGUGAAAUCCUAUGGCUCAACCAUAGAACUGCUCUUGAAACUGUCAAUCUAGAGUAUGGGAGAGGUAGAUGGAAUUUCUGGUGUAGGGGUAAAAUCCGUAGAGAUCAGAAGGAAUACCGAUUGCGAAGGCGAUCUACUGGAACAUAACUGACGCUGAGACGCGAAAGCGUGGGGAGCAAACAGGAUUAGAUACCCUGGUAGCUACGAGU
rnacentral:rRNA from 1 species